CGUGUAGGCGGUCGGUUAAGUCUGAUGUGAAAGCCCGAGGCUCAGCUUCGGAAGUGCAUCGGAAACUAGCCGGCUGGAGCGCGAUAGAGGAGGGUGGAAUUCCUGGUGUAGCGGUGAAAUGCGUAGAUAUCAGGAGGAACACCGGCGGCGAAGGCGGCCCUCUGGAUUGUUGCUGACGCUGAGACGCGAAAGCGUGGGGAGCAAACAGGAUUAGAUACCCUGGUAGUCCACGCUGUAAACUAUGGGUACUAGGUGUUCGGGGUAUUGACCCCCUGAGUGCCGCAGUUAACGCAUUAAGUACCCCGCCUGGGGACUGCGGCCGCAAGGUUAA
rnacentral:rRNA from 1 species